rnacentral:rRNA from 1 species
GGUUGACCUCGGAUCAGGUAGGAAGACCCGCUGAACUUAA